UGGGGAAUAUUGGACAAUGGGCGCAAGCCUGAUCCAGCCAUGCCGCGUGAGUGAUGAAGGCCCUAGGGUUGUAAAGCUCUUUCACCGGUGAAGAUAAUGACGGUAACCGGAGAAGAAGCCCCGGCUAACUUCGUGCCAGCAGCCGCGGUAAUACGAAGGGGGCUAGCGUUGUUCGGAUUUACUGGGCGUAAAGCGCACGUAGGCGGACUAUUAAGUCAGGGGUGAAAUCCCGGGGCUCAACCCCGGAACUGCCUUUGAUACUGGUAGUCUUGAGUGCGGGAGAGGUGAGUGGAAUUCCGAGUGUAGAGGUGAAAUUCGUAGAUAUUCGGAGGAACACCAGUGGCGAAGGCGGCUCACUGGCUGAAUACUGACGCUGAGGUGCGAAAGCAUGGGGAGCAAACAGG
rnacentral:rRNA from 1 species